rfam:Punica granatum cultivar Dabenzi scaffold225, whole genome shotgun sequence.
AUGAAAGUGAUGAUUAUUUCCCCAGAUGAUCGACGCUGAUUAUACUGUGCUAAAUCUUACGUUCCUCAUUAAGGAACCAAGCCAGUAGUCUGAUCCAU